GAAAGUAAUAACAAAUAUGAGCUUGUGGAUUUAUGAAUGGCCGCAGGCGAAAUGCACGAAUGGCAUCUAGUGCAGUUUCGACAUGGUUUUACAACUUGCAUGUUUAAGCCGCCUCCACUUUCCCCUGCCCUGCCCCCUCCCUCGUCUUUAAAUCUUCACAUUUGGAUCACCACCACACUUUUAGCCAGCCAGCCUCUUCUCUUUGGAUCACCACCAGACUUUUCUCUUUCCUUGUCUUUAAAUCUUCACAUGUGAUCGCGCACACAGUUUACAUCUAUAAAAGAGAAGAGGUUGUUUUUAGAAAACAGAGAGAAAGCAGAGGGUGCAAGGGACUGCUAUGAGAGUUGCAGAGAGCUAAGAAAAUAAGAAAGCAUGUAAAGAAAAAAAGAGUUUCCGCACAUGUGUUUAUG
rnacentral:misc_RNA from 1 species